CAGGACUGAGAGCUUAGAUUUGGAGGCUUUUCCCAGAAGCUAAAGCGACAGUCCUGUGGUCAGCCAGAAAACCAGAUGGAGCAGAGAUGCUGAGAGACCAGGAAGAGGUUACAUCUGGGGUAUCUCCUGGUUAGCUGAACUCCCUAGGUGGGAAAGGAGGAACUGAGGGCAAACUUCAACCAGCCUUAUGGAGUCUGAGCUGUUCACCAAGAACCUGUGCCCAGCCCCUUCUCCUGCGAAGAUAUGGACCAACCCAGUGCUGAGUGGGAAAGAAGAGUAGGGUGGAGACGAGGUCCAGGUCAUCCGACGGGCUGUGCAGACGGGCCACCAGCAGCUGCAGGAGCACCUCCCCCUGCCCUGAGCCAAGGCUGCAGGGACGGCCACGGCCACGAGAGGGCGGCAGAGGGUCCAGGCGGAAGGUGAGGCGCGGGCACCUCACCUCGUACUCCAGGUACUCCUUCCGCAAGCGGUAGUCCUCCAGCUCUCGGCCGCGGCCCCGCCGCUCCGGGCACACGGGCUCAGAAGAGAGGUCUGCAUCAGUUGCUCGUCCCCCCGUGCUGCCCGUCGCGGGUGCAGACUCCCUCCCUACCUUCAGGAAGUAGAGGACCAUCCCACGCAGGACGGUGUGGAGCACCUUCCAGCCGCGCUUGCCCCACGGCGCUGCCCCAGGAGCAGAACACAAAGGUGUUCCCUGGCCACUGCACCCUCUUCUGAGACUGGCCCGCUGCCCCGCCUCCGGCUCCACCCACGCAGAGGGGAGCACUGUCCAGGGGCCCGAGUUCUCCAACUCAGGUAAGCGGCCACUUCGGACUUCCGGAAGCCCUCCAGGCGAUAGAGGCGGGAGGCCAAGUUCCAGGCCACCUUGUCGGUCCUGACGCCAUUCGCCAGCUUGUCUCCAGCUGGGGGCCUUUGGCCUUCCUCUGGGGGCUGCGCUUCGGGCACGGGGCUCUCAGGAGGGCUGCGAAAGUCCAUCGGUGACCUCAGACUCCCGCUUGGGAUGGAUACAAAGGGGCUCUGGGUCAAGCGUCCUUGGGGUCAGUCGUAGGGGCGGGUGUGCCCAGAGUCCACGCCCAGAGCUCAGGGCAGGAGCUGGAGCUCCAGGGCCUCGUGUGGCCGGGGAAGAGCCGGACCAGGGCCUCCCCCGGGGAAUAGGCAGGGUCACAGCCUGCCUGGCCUGACCUGGGCACCAGGAGGACCCAGAGAGGGCAGUAUUCACACAAAGCUAGCAAGGGCUGGAGCCGAGCUUGGUACCAGCACUUCCUCAGGUGGCAGGUGCAGCCCUUUGAAGACCCCAGUGGUGUUUAGUCCGUCCCAAGGAGGGGUGGGAAUACCUCCCCAAAUGUCAGCAGCCACCUGUGCCCCUCACCUGUCCUGCCCUCCCCAUCAUGCCUCCUUGCCCCCCUUCCCCUCCCCCAGCUCCAGCCUCCAGCCUCCACUCCUAGAUCUGGAGCCAAGGAAGGUGCAAGGGUGAAGCAAGAACAGAAAGCGAGACCGGCUUUAGGAAUGUUGACAGCUGGGAUUGCCACAGGUGGUUUCCAACCCCUGCCUUCCCGUAUCGGCAGCCCUGUGGUAGAGAAGGGGGCCUUCCAGCAGGGGCUUUGGAUGGUGCCCUACAGAGGGUACACAGGCCCCAGCAACCCUCACGGUAGACUCAGAGGACACUCAGAAUCUCAGGGGUCACCCGGCCCAAUCUCUCCCUGACUCUUGCGUUUUCCCUGCAACAUUGCAACCAGGUAUUGGGGUAUCCUCGUUAGUGGAAUGGUCAUCAUCCAGGUUACUGCAGUCAGGGAUUGUACAGAUAAGCAAAACUUAUCACAGUAUGAAAAUGUUCACCGACAGACUACCCACUUAUAAAAUUCGGCUGCACUUGACAGCCCUUUCCACUUAACACAAAUGUAUAUCUCUGCCCCCAACUGGGUCAGCGUCUUUGCUGGUAACUUCUCACUGCUUCCUGAGGUUCAUCCACAUCCAACAAGGCAGGGCAAACGUAACGGAAGCCAACUGAAAAGUGAAAUUACAAAUCUUGCCAAAAAGGAUUUUAUGAAGGCCAUGAAAGUGAUGCUGGAAGAUUCCAGGGAUCACCUGGGAAGCCACUGACAAGUGAGGAACGGGAAGAGUUAGUCCAGUGAACAACUGAAGAGGAGAAAAUAACAAUAAUGACAUGCUUGUCACAUCUAAAGAGAGCUACUGAAGAUUAUCAGCUGACAAAGCCCUCAAAUACUUUUACAAAAAUGACCUAGUCAGUGAGUGUUGUUACUAAAAUAAUAUCUAGAUGGGAAGGCACUUUGAGGAAAAAAACCCUACAGGGCAAAUAUAAAUUGUUAUGGAAUUGUAUACUUUAAAUGGAUGGAUUGUAUAGUAUGUGAAUUAUAUCUUAAUAAAGCUGAUAUUAAAUAAAAUAAAAUAAAAAUAAAAUAAAAUAAAAUAGGACUUCCCUGGUGGUCCAGUGGUUAAGACUCCGCACUUCCACUGCAGGCGGCAUAGGUUCGAUCCCUGGUUGGGGAAGUUCCACAUGCCACCUCAGGGCAGCCAAAAAUAAAAAAAUAAAAUAAAAUGAUAAAUUAAAUAGACCCUUAUGACCUCACUGUGAAAGUUAAGGAUGAAUGAAAGACAUCUCAUUGGGCCACCAAAUUAGGCCAGGAAAAUUAAUCUCCUAUAGCGUAUUAAAUAUAAGAUUAAAUAAAUUUACUUAUGUAAUAUUUAGUGUCAUUUACCAAGAAAAGCAUCAAUUAAACCUUUUUUCAUUAUUUA